CCUACGGGUGGCAGCAGUAGGGAAUCUUUCACAAUGGGCGAAAGCCUGAUGGAGCAACGCCGCGUGCAGGAUGAAGGCCUUCGGGUUGGAAACGGCUUUUAUAAGCGAGAAAGAAGAUGGUAACUUAGGAAUAAGGAGCGGCUAACUACGUGCAAGCAGCCGCGGUCAUACGUAGGAUCCGAGCAUUAUCCGGAGUGACUGGGUGUACAGAGGUGCGUAGGUGGCCUAAUAAGUAGCUAGUGCAAUCGGGUGGCUCCACCAUUCAGACUAUUAGCUAAACUGUUAAGCUCGAGACCGUUAGGGGUAACUGUCAUUUCUAGUGUAGGCGUGAACUCCGUAGAUAUUAGCCAGAACACCAAUCGCGUAGGCAGGUUACUGGGACGGUUCUGACACUCCGGCACGACAGCGUCGGGAGCACACGGGAUUAGAUACCCCGGUAGUC
rnacentral:rRNA from 1 species